rnacentral:misc_RNA from 1 species
UAAAUUUUAUAAGUUUUACUAUUUGGUAAAAACAUCUAAUUUAUGGAGAAUAAAAAUAAUCAAAAUACGCCUGCGCCUAUCACUUUCCAAAAGACAAACUUGACAAACAGUUUGUUGUCAAAAAUUUGAAUUUUUGAGGUUAUAUUGAUGCGAAUUAAAUUUACAUUGCAAAUAAAUACAGAUAAAGAAACAAAUAUAAGAAAAUAUAAACAAUUAGAAAACAAUUUGUGUUAUGUUAAUUGGUUUUUAGUAUACUAUAUUUUGAAAUGGAUGCUUUAUUUUGAAUUUACACCUAAUACUAUUUGGAAAAAACAAUAAUGGAUCAACAGAGUACUUCAAAACCGCCUUUUUCAAAAGGCGUCCAAGUUGCAAGUUUGGUUGUGGAGUCCAAGCCGUAUCCCCUAUUUAAAGGAGUUAAUACUAUUGGCAGAAACAGGACAGCUGUUGUUAAUAUUAAACAUUUGACUGUAAGCCAGCAUCAAGCUGUUAUCGUGGCCAUAGAUGAAACACAGAUGUACAUCAGUGACAUGAAUUCUUCUAAUAGUACAUUUAUUCACAACUCGAAAAUGAUUCCUCUACAGUUAUAUAAGUUAGCCAACAAUGAUGACAUUAAAUUUGGUGAACUUAAUGCCAUUUUUUCAAAUAUUGUAGUCACAGACCCAACCCAAAAUGAUGCUGCUGAGGCCAGUCAACUUUCACAGACACAAAAUUUUUAUUCUUCAGAUACACAAGUCCUAGUCAACCCUACGGACAUUACUAGUACCGGUGUAAAUAAUGACCAAACAGUUAGCGAUAUUAACAUUCACGAAAUGGCAACCCAAGUUGUAGAAUUUCAUCCGCCACCCGUUCCAAAACCUAAGAAAUUUCAUUUUAAAAAAGUAGUUCAGACUCAAGUUAAAGAUCAAGAAAAUCACGUGGUUCAAAUUCCAGGUAACGAGGUGGCUAAAAAUGAACCAGUUCAAAAUGUAAUUAUAGAAACUGUAUAUGGCAUUCAUGAUCUUCCAACGCAAGUACUCAACAUUCAUGAUCUUCCAACGCAAGUACAGAGUUUUGUUCCGACAUGCAGUAAAGAGGAAGACAAUAUCCAUGAAAUGGCCACUCAAGUUUUUAAUCAUUCCAUACAACCUGACGAAAAUCCAAUAGAAAAACUACUUCCUGAUAAUGAGAAGAAUGAGGAAACUGAUAGCACAUCAGAUUCCAAUACACAAAUAAUGACUCAGGAAGAGAUGGAGGCUAUUUCUAAGAAAUUGAACGAUACAACUGUUCCUGUGUCACUUGUAACACCAACUGAUACUCAAGAGUUACUAAACAGUAUUCAGGAAAGUAUUCGAGAACAUAAAAUUUUAAAGGAUCGAGAAGAUAAAAUUUUUGAUAAAUUGAACACUAAAUUUGCAAGUAAAACCAUUCAUGACAGUCAAGAGCCUUCAACGUCAGGUGUGCAAAACAAUUGUAACGAAUAUGAUGAUUCUUUUGCUAGUUCAAUAGAUAGUACUAAAGCAGAAGACUUCGCUAUAGAAGAAACAUUUUUAGAUAGUUUUCAAAAUAAUGAUUCAAUGGACUUUUUAAUUGCAGAAGCUGAAAACCUUGAAUCACAGCCUACAUCACAAUUAUUAAAAAGUAAAAAUAGUCAAAAUGAACUGGACGAAAACAUAUCUGCUCAUAAGUCACCAGAAAGAGAUCCAGAAAUUAAUUGUAAAGCUACAGAUAAAGCUCUAGAGCAAGGUGGACAAGGAAAAGAUGAUAGUUCAGACUCAGAUACUGACUGUGAAGAUGCGCUUUUAGAAGACUUGUCACUAAGGUUAAGUGCGAAUAAUAGUCAUGAGGCAACAUCAACAGAUCCACAGAUGAAAUCUACGGAUCCACAGAUUAAAUCUACAGAUCCACAGAUCAAAUCUAAUAAAGAUUUUGAUGAUUUGGAUGAUUCUGACUGUAUACCAGCCACUCAAGAUUUCUUCGCGAAAGAAUUAGACUACAAACCGUUGAAAUCCUCACAGACGAGCAAUGUACAAUCUUCUGAAGAGAGUUUUAAGUUGGGAUUAACGGAGCUUAUGGAGUUUCCAGAAUUAGAUGAUCUUGACAAUGCAAAGAAGCCCAAAUCCCAAGAAAAAAGAAGUAGUUUGGACAAACAGGGAGUAGAGGAUUGUAAAAAUAUAGAUAGUGCACAAAAAUCAGAUACAACUACAAUAAAUGAUGCGGAUCCAAAGAUAUUGGACACUUUAGAUGCCUGUUUUGAGGCCACGCAAGAAAACGAUGACGUUUUUCUUGCAUCCACUCAACUGGUGCCAUUAAACGAACCUAGUGAAAGAAAACAGCCUACAAAAGAAGAUGUAUAUUCCCUGCCAACCCAAAAACUAAACGAUGAUGUUUAUUUAGAACCAACCCAACAGAUCGAUGAUGUUUUUCGUCAACCUACUCAACCGGUGUCGCCAAAGAAGGUUGUUGAUAGAAAAAAGCCUGCUGAAGAAGAUAUAUAUUGCCAAGCAACGCAAAAAUUGGAUGACGAUGUGUAUAUAGAACCAACUCAACAGAUUGAUGAUGUUUUCCUUCAACCCACUCAACCAGUGGCAUCAGGUAAGGUUAAAGAUAAAAAAGAGCCUACUAAAGAAGCAACGCAAAAAGUGGACGAGGAUGUUUACUUAGAACCCACUCAACAAAUUGAUGAUACAUUCCUUCAGCCCACGCAAUUACUCGAACCUACUGAUAGAAAAAAACCAACGAAAGAUUUGUAUUCCCAACCUACUCAAAAACUAGAUGAAGAUGGGUUUGUUCAACCUUUUAAUAUUAGAAAACAGCCAGUGUCAAAAAAUGUUACCACAGAUAGUGAAGAUGUGUUUCUUAUACCCACACAACCUCUGGACGUUGAGGAUAAACCUGAAAAAUCGAAAUCCUUUACAGGAGAUGAGAGUUUUAAGUCAAAAGGAAAUACUUCGCUAAAACUGGAUGAAGAUCCGUACAUACAAGCAACUCAACCUAUUGAAGAGCUAGCAACACCCAAUAAAUCCAGACCGAAAAUUGGAGAUACGCAUAUGAGUCAAAAUGAUAUCACGGAAUCGCAAUUAGAAAUGGAAAAUUAUGGUACCUUCGAACCAAAUAGUUCGAUUCGAAGGGAUAGACCUGGAAAUCCGAUUUUAUGCGAACUGGACAACAAAAAUUCCGAUAAUAAAGACGAUUCCGACGAUGAUAAUACUUGUAUCGAAUCGAUGAGUCAAAUAGAAGCUUAUAUAGGUGGUUCGCGGGUCGUACCUCCAGAUAACAUAAAAAAAGAAACGAUUUCACCCAAAGUUAAAGGUAAUACGUCCCUAAAUAUUAGUAUCGAGACUUUGAGCCAAAUAGAAGCGUUUAUUAAGAAACCUUUGCCACCGAGGAUGUCCGAUAGAGGUUAUCAAACGAAAAAGAAAACGGAAAAAGAGAAUGAAGAUGGACCUGAAACUCUGAGCCAGAUUACGUCGUUUAUUGCCAAGCCACAAGGCAUAAAGAUAAAAGAAGAGAAAAGACUGAGUCAUAUGAAUUCAUCAAACAAUAUUACCAAAAGUCGGAUCACCGGCGUUCAUAAUGAAUUAUCAUUUAAUUCAACACUGAACGAAAGAAAUCUGUUAAGUGAUGUAGACCAGAGUUUUGCAUUGCUAGAGUCUAAAAGCUCUAGGGUUAAAAGGAAACCGACCUUGGGUCCAGUUUAUGAAGAUGUCAAAGUAAAUGUUACAUUGCAUCGAAGAAGCAUGCAAGUUGAAGAGAAUAAUGAUGAUACGUUCAUUGUGCCAACUAAGAAGCAACGAACGGGCAACGACCGUAACACAUUACGUAUCUCAGAAAUCGAAUUACCAACAAAAAAGUCGCAAUCUAAAAGGUCAAAAGUACCUUCACCAAUUCCAGAAACCAAAUCGGAUACGAAGUCAUCGAAUAAAGAAACGAAAACAAAGACCAGCAGUACAAAAACUUCCUCAAAAUCCUCAAAAGAUAACGAUUAUUUACCUAAAGAUAAUAAAGUACAAAAAGAUGCCGAAGAAGUUAAAAACAGUCCGGAAAAAAUAAGAAGAACUACUAGAACCACUGCCGGCAAGACCACGAAGAAGUCGAGUAUAGCAAGUGGAUAUAGUAAAUCAUCCAAAAGUAAGGAGUCCACCGAAAAUAAACCUUCAACUUCAGAAGACAUUAAAUCUGCAGAAAAACGAGCACCGAAAGCUAGAGGAAGGACAAAAAAUAAAGAAACAGAACCAACAGCUCCAAAGAGCAAAAGGCAAAAGUGAAUUAAGUUAUUUAUGCAUUAUAUUAUUUAUAUGUAAUUAAUACAGAUACUUAUAUUUUUAAUAAAAAUGGGAAAAAACGUACUUGGAGGGAUUUCGAAUAUUGGCGAAUAUGCCUGAAGUUAUCAUGAGUUGAAUUGAUAAUGAUGAAUAAAUACCAUGUCAUUUUUGUGUAUAUAUAGAUAUAGGUAUUCUUUUUCUCAUGAGCAUCUUUCAGUGCGUCACAGUUUUUCGAUUUCUUUCUAACACAUGUAUAACAUUUAUUCUAGUUGUCGGUAGAUGGCGCUAUAAUCGAAAAAAAGUUAUUUACGAAUUAUAUAAUAUAUCUACGAAUAUAAUCUGUACAAUUUAUAAGACUAUACAAAUCAAAGAAAGUAUCAUUUUAUAAAUGCAAUAAACACACUUGAUUUGUUUUAUGCCAAAUUGCAAAUAAAAUGUGACAACUGUCAGAUUUAACUAAAAUGUCAUGUUAGAAUAAAUGUUAUAAAUGUGUAUUAUCACGGACUUACCUUUUUUCUAUCAUUUGUGACGCACUGAAAAAUGCUCAUGAAAAGAACAAUAUUGGGAGUUAAUAUUUUAUUAAAAUGUAUCGCAUUCUUUAAUUUUAAACGAGCUCUGUAGAGAGCAUAAUUUUGUUGACCAAAAUGAUGUUAAAUGAAUAAAUGUAUGUUCUUCCU